rnacentral:pre_miRNA from 1 species
ACCCUAGGGGUCUGAGCCACAGUCCCCUGAAGUCAAUAGGAGUCUUUUCACUGACUUCAAUGGGCUUUGGAUCAGUCCUUAGGUGU